rnacentral:rRNA from 1 species
AAUGAACGCUGGCGGCGUGCCUAACACAUGCAAGUCGGAUGUGCCGCAAGGUGCAUGGCAGACGGGUGAGUAACGCGUAGGGAAUCUACCUUUUUGUGGGGAAUAACGCUCCGAAAGGAGUGGUAAUACCGCAUGAGACCGUGGCCUGGGAUGGUUACGGUGAAACCUGGGGACCGCAAGGCCUGGGGCAAAAAGAGGAUCCUGCGUCUGAUUAGCUAGUUGGCGGGGUAAUGGCCCACCAAGGCGACGAUCAGUAGCCGGCCUGAGAGGGUGAUCGGCCACACUGGAACUGACACACGGUCCAGACUCCUACGGGAGGCAGCAGUAGGGAAUAUUGCACAAUGGGGCGAAAGCCUGAUGCAGCGACGCCGCGUGAGUGAUGAAGGACUUCGGUUUGUAAAGCUCUGUUGUCAGGGAUAAAAAAUGAAUGUACCUGACGAGAAAGGACCGGCUAACUUCGUGCCAGCAGCCGCGGUAAU